rnacentral:rRNA from 1 species
UACGUAGGGGGCAAGCGUUGUCCGGAUUUAUUGGGCGUAAAGAGCGUGUAGGCGGCCAGGUAGGUCUGCUGUGAAAACUCGAGGCUUAACCUCGAGCUGUCGGCGGAAACCAUCUGGCUAGAGUCCGGAAGAGGAGAAUGGAAUUCCCGGUGUAGCGGUGAAAUGCGUAGAUAUCCGGAGGAACACCGGUGGCGAAGGCGGCUUCCUGGACCGACACUGACGCUGAGGCGCGAAAGCUAGGGGAGCAAACAGG